AGAACAACAGGAGCCCUGCUUCUGCAAUCAACAAAGCAAAUUGAAUGACUAGAAAUAUUCUUCUAUUAUAUAGACUACAUGCAUCAUUAGCAAAAGAAAUGCUAUUGUUUUCAACACUAACUUUUAAACAACCAGGACAUAAAAAUAACAUGCAAACUUACCAAAGUACUAAGUGCAAUGUAGCAAUCACCUUCAGCCAAAGGGUUA
rnacentral:misc_RNA from 1 species